rnacentral:rRNA from 1 species
UACGUAGGGUGCGAGCGUUAAUCGGAAUUACUGGGCGUAAAGCGUGCGCAGGCGGUCUGUUAAGACCGAUGUGAAAUCCCCGGGCUUAACCUGGGAACUGCAUUGGUGACUGGCAGGCUUUGAGUGUGGCAGAGGGAGGUAGAAUUCCACGUGUAGCAGUGAAAUGCGUAGAGAUGUGGAGGAAUACCGAUGGCGAAGGCAGCCUCCUGGGCCAACACUGACGCUGAGGAGCGAAAGCCAGGGGAGCAAACGGG